rnacentral:rRNA from 1 species
UACGAAGGGGGCUAGCGUUGCUCGGAAUCACUGGGCGUAAAGCGCACGUAGGCGGAUUGCUAAGUCAGGGGUGAAAUCCUGGAGCUCAACUCCAGAACUGCCUUUGAUACUGGCGAUCUCGAGGGAGGUAGGGGUAUGCGGAACUUCUGGUGGAGCGGUGAAAUGCGUUGAUAUCAGAAGGAACGCCGGUGGCGAAAGCGGCGUACUGGACCUCUUCUGACGCUGAGGCGCGAAAGCUAGGGGAGCAAACGGG